rnacentral:rRNA from 1 species
UACGGAGGGGGCAAGCGUUGUUCGGAAUUACUGGGCGUAAAGGGUGCGUAGGCGGCUUUCUAAGUUGGAUGUGAAAACUAUGGGCUCAACCCAUAGCCUGCAUCCAAAACUGGAGAGCUUGGGUUCUGGAGGGGAAAGCGGAAUUCCUGGUGUAGCGGUGAAAUGCGUAGAUAUCAGGAGGAACACCGGUGGCGAAGGCGGCUUUCUGGACAGAUACCGACGCUGAGGCACGAAAGCUAGGGGAGCAAACAGG